GCUUUAACAGUGUCUGACAUAUUAUAAUUUCAUUAUAAAGUAGAGGUAACUCUUAAAGUA
rnacentral:tRNA from 1 species